GAUGGUGGUUCGGCACGGCUGUGUUGUGACUGGGUCAGUGAUGGGUGAUAGUGAAGGGGAGAGUGGAGCUGAUAUGGAGCAUAGCGGUACAGCAUCUCAGAGUGGACACCAACCCUGCAAUUUUUUUCUCCAAAUCCAACUGGUUGAGGAGGACAGGAGCCCUUGGACCACACCUCAGGACUACCAGGUCCAAAAGUCACGUAGCUGUCCCUGUCCAGUAUCCUCCUAGUUUGGUUGCAGAUCAAGAAGCUGAUGAAACCUGAUUCUUUCAGCUGCCCCUCCACCGACCAUUCCUGUCCCUAUCUUCGUCCAUCUGGUCAUGCAGUGGACUUGGAUUAUGUUUGACAGACUCUGGACACAACCUAUACGCAUUUAUUAAUUAUUACAAUUUGUGGUCUUAAAAUGUUCACCCGGCAUAGCCAGAAGAGAAUUGGCCAUCCCUCAGGGCCUGGUGGCACUAGAUUUCUUCCAAAUUUUCAUCCCUUUUAGGGAGUUAUUCCUAGCCACUGUGCAUCUACAUUGUUGUUGCUUGCUCUUUGGGGUUUCAGGCUGAGUGUUUAGUAUAAGCACUUUCUGGCAACUGCUGUAGUGUAAUGACAAAUGUCUGCUGAGGAAGAGUGGAAGUGUAUUUGACAAAGAAGCACAUCUGGCCCCACCAAGUCUCUAACACACCCUUGGUGUAUCCUGGGUAACAUUUGCUUCUCUAAAGAUCUGGAACACCAGGUGUAGACCAUCAGCCCCAACUUUCUGAGCUCACCUGGAGAGGUGUGAAACACUGAGCAAACUGGAGUGUAAACUAAAUACAUUAUAUUGUGGACAUUCAUCUGUAGUGGUUGGAUUUCCCCUGUUCUAUGGAAAAACCUGAGUAGGCUGAUAUGCUUUAUUGUAAUGUACGGGUUAUGGGUCAAACUUCACAAGAACUGAUUGUAGAUUGUAGAAAUUAUUGUCCUUGUUGCAUGUCUGACAACAACUGGCAGCAACACCCCGUCCAUUCGAUUAUUUUGCAUUGAUUAUGUGGGACAGUUCCUGUGCUUUGUGUUCAUUGUGUUUGCCAAAGUAAGGUAAUGCUAAUGACUAUUUGGGGGAGUGUUUUAGAUUUGUCUCCAAAAAGAUAUUUUAGUUUGUCCUCAUUAAAGAGACCUCCCAACACAUUGUGUUGUAGUCAUAUUUAGGAGUCUAUUGAAAACAGCCACGUGUGGGAACUAAACUCAUCCACUAGUUAACAACAGUAACUUCUAAAACUGCACUACCCAUUUUACGCCACUAGGCGCUACACUCACAACACCAAUGAUGCACAGCAGCCUAGAAAAGAAAAUUUACAUUUCUCAACCAGAACAAGUAUUGACAGUGAAGUAGCUAAUGUCCCCCUAUUAUCGGCCACCCCCUAUUAUUGGCCAUUUCUAUCGGUGGGAGAACUAAAUUCUCCCAAGUUCAAAAUUUAAAUGCACUGGAAAACAUCUGAAUAUUUUGCCUGUUAAAUAUACCCUUUCAGCUAGCCAAUCAUCAUGUUUUAUAGAAAUGUAUGGAGGUUAAAUACUGUUUUUAGAUGUAAAAUUUUAAUUUAUGGAAAUUGUUUAAGACAAGUUGCAACUCGUGAAAUUUUACUUGCGUGACAGGCCAGACAUCAU